AGAGUUUGAUCCUGGCUCAGAUUGAACGCUGGCGGCGUGCUUAACACAUGCAAGUCGUGCGAGAAAGGGGACUUCGGUUCCUGAGUAGAGCGGCGCACGGGUGAGUAACGCGUGGGUGAUCUACCCGGAAGUCUGGGAUAACGGUGGGAAACUGCCGCUAAUACCGGUUAAUCUUCCAAUUCGAAUUGGAGGGAAAGACGGCCUCUGCUUGCAAGCUGUCGCUUUCGGAUGAGCCCGCGUCCCAUUAGCUUGUUGGCGGGGUAACGGCCCACCAAGGCAACGAUGGGUAGCUGGUCUGAGAGGAUGAUCAGCCACACUGGGACUGAAACACGGCCCAGACUCCUACGGGAGGCAGCAGUGGGGAAUAUUGCGCAAUGGGGGAAACCCUGACGCAGCGACGCCGUGUGAGGGAAGAAGGCCUUCGGGUCGUAAACCUCUGUCGGGAGGGAAGAACCGCCGGAUACCGAACAGGGAUCCGGCCUGACGGUACCUCCGAAGGAAGCGCCGGCUAACUCCGUGCCAGCAGCCGCGGUAAUACGGAGGGCGCGAGCGUUAAUCGGAAUCACUGGGCGUAAAGCGCGCGUAGGCGGCCAGAUAAGUCGGGCGUGAAAGCCCUCGGCCCAACCGAGGAACUGCGUUCGAUACUGUUUGGCUUGAGUCCUGGAGAGGGUGGCGGGAAUUCCGGGGUGUAGGAGUGAAAUCCGUAGAUAUCCGGAGGGAACACCGGUGGGCGAAGGCGGCCACCUGGACAGGUACUGACGCUGAGGUGC
rnacentral:rRNA from 1 species